rnacentral:rRNA from 1 species
UACGUAGGGGGCUAGCGUUGUCCGGAAUCAUUGGGCGUAAAGCGCGUGUAGGCGGUCCGGUAAGUCCGCUGUGAAAGUCGAGGGCUCAACCCUCGAAUGCCGGUGGAUACUGUCGGGCUUGAGUACGGGAGAGGCGAGUGGAAUUCCUGGUGUAGCGGUGAGAUGCGCAGAUAUCAGGAGGAACACCGAUUGCGAAGGCAGCUCGCUGGAACGUUACUGACGCUGAGACGCGAAAGCGUGGGGAGCAAACAGG